CUUCAAGUACUAGAAGAAAAGCACCUAGACCUAACAAAAUUAAGUGAAUGCCCAAAAUUGUAGUCAUUUUAUUUUUAUCUUUCCA
rnacentral:antisense_RNA from 1 species